CACGUAGGAGGCGAGCGUUGUCCGGAAUCAUUGGGCGUAAAGAGCGCGCAGGCGGCUUGGCAAGUCGGGUGUGAAAUCCCGGGGCUCAACCCCGUGACUGCAUUCGAUACUGUCAGGCUAGAGGUAGGUAGGGGAGAUCGGAAUUCCUGGUGUAGCGGUGAAAUGCGCAGAUAUCAGGAGGAACACCGGUGGCGAAGGCAGCCCCCUGGGUCAAGACUGACGCUCAUGCACGAAAGCGUGGGGAGCAAACAGG
rnacentral:rRNA from 1 species